rnacentral:misc_RNA from 1 species
GCAAACUUGGUCAUUUAGAGGAAGUAAAAGUCGUAACAAGGUCUCCGUUGGUGAACCAGCGGAGGGAUCAUUACAGAGUUGAAAACUCCUAAAACCAUGUGAACAUACCUAUUUUGUUGCCUCGGCGUGGUUUUUACACCUGCCGGUGGUCCACUAAACUCUUGUUUUGAACUAUAAGCAUCUGAGUGUUUUACUUGAAAUAAGUCAAAACUUUCAACAACGGAUCUCUUGGUUCUGGCAUCGAUGAAGAACGCAGC